ACAUCAUCUUGUUGUCUAAGUUAUCUAAUUUUUAUCUAAAUUAUUUAUAUAAUUCAUUUUUUGUCAUCAGAUAACCCCACUUUGUAAUCUGUUGAUGAUUAAAUGGCGGGCGAAAAAUUUAUUUUCUGCCAAGUUGCUCAACUAUGUUGAUGGCAGCUGGACUAUAGAGGAUGGGGUUCGACAGGACUGAUUCAAACCCCAUAUAGAUUUUUUAAGAAAUGCCGAAUUUAAUCUUUAGAUUAAAGACAGAGUUUUCACCCUAUCUAAACUAUUCUAUAAUUUAUCAAAACUGAACUGUUUGCAGUUGUAGACAGCCUGCAUUUAUAUGAUUUUUUUCUUAUUUCAGUAUUUAUUUUUACAUCCUAGAAAAUGCUUUUUGUUUAUUUCACUUUGCAAUUUGAGUUCACUUAAGUUCCAAAACAUUCUAAUUCCCAGCACGUGUCAAGUCAUCCAAAUAGCCGCAGUGGAGGGUUGCUGUGAUUGCAUCCUGCAGGAUGUGGAUUUAAUUCUUCAGUUCUGUUUUUCAGGAAACUGAGGUGUCUAUUCUUUGAAUCCUAUCCUUCAUCUGACGGCUAAUUCCACGAGGAUAAAGGUGGGAGGAGUUUAGGAUGUUUCAUUUUUCUCUAUCGAAAAUCGAGAACAAAAUGAUAUUAAAAUUGCAAAAUCACACUUCUUAAUCUGGGUAGUGAAUUAUAAAAUGCUAUAUGGUAAGAUGAUGAUAUUUAAUUAGAUAAUCUUGUUCCUAUUAUGUUAACAAAUUUUGUAGCACGCACUAAUAAAGUUCAAGAUUGUAGAAUUUAUUUUGUAAUAUUUGUCAAUAGAGUCGC
rnacentral:lncRNA from 1 species